rnacentral:rRNA from 1 species
AAUGAACGUUGGCGGCGUGGAUUAGGCAUGCAAGUCGAGCGAGAAGAGUUUGGUAGCUUGCUAUUGAACUCGGAAAGCGGCGAAAGGGAGAGUAACGCGUAGUUAUGUACCCAGGGGUUCGGAAUAGCCACGGGAAACUGUGGGUAAUGCCGAAUAACAUCUCCGGAUCAAAGGUGUGAUUCCGCCCUUGGAGCAGACUGCGUCCUACUAGCUAGUUGGCGGGGUAAUGGCCCACCAAGGCGACAAUGGGUAGCGGGUGUGAGAGCAUGACCCGUCUCACUGGGACUGAGACACUGCCCAGACACCUACGGGUGGCUGCAGUCGAGAAUCUUCGGCAAUGGGCGAAAGCCUGACCGAGCGACGCCGCGUGCGGGAUGAAGGCCCUCGGGUUGUAAACCGCUGUCGUAGGGGAGGAAGGCUCCGUGAAGAACGGGGUUUGACCUAUCCUAGGAGGAAGUACGGGCUAAGUUCGUGCCAGCAGCCGCGGUAAAAC